GAGUUUGAUCAUGGCUCAGAACGUACGCUGGCGGCACGCCUAACACAUGCAAGUCGAACGAAGUAGCAAUACUUAGUGGCAGACGGGUGAGUAACAUGUAGGUAUCUGCCCUAUGGCCUGGAAUAACACGAGGAAACUUGUGCUAAUACCGGAUAAGUCUUUACAGAGAAAGCUUUAUGCACCAUUGGAUGAGCCUGCACUUGAUUAGUUUGUUGGUGGGGUAAUGGCCUACCAAGACUGUGAUCAAUAGCUGAUUUGAGAGGAUGAUCAGCCACAUUGGGACUGAGACACGGCCCAAACUCCUACGGGAGGCAGCAGUGGGGAAUCUUGCACAAUGGAGGAAACUCUGAUGCAGCGAUGCCGCGUGAGUGAAGAAGGCCCUUGGGUUGUAAAGCUCUUUCGUCGGGGAAGAAAAUGACUGUACCCGAAUAAGAAGGUCCGGCUAACUUCGUGCCAGCAGCCGCGGUAAUACGAAGGGACCUAGCGUAGUUCGGAAUUACUGGGCUUAAAGAGUUCGUAGGUGGUUGAAAAAGUUAGUGGUGAAAUCCCAGAGCUUAACUCUGGAACUGCCAUUAAAACUUUUCAGCUAGAGUAUGAUAGAGGAAAGCAGAAUUUCUAGUGUAGAGGUGAAAUUCGUAGAUAUUAGAAAGAAUACCAAUUGCGAAGGCAGCUUUCUGGAUCAUUACUGACACUGAGGAACGAAAGCAUGGGUAGCGAAGAGGAUUAGAUACCCUCGUAGUCCAUGCCGUAAACGAUGUGUGUUAGACGUUGGAAAUUUAUUUUCAGUGUCGCAGCGAAAGCGAUAAACACACCGCCUGGGGAGUACGACCGCAAGGUUAAAACUCAAAUGAAUUGACGGGGACCCGCACAAGUAGUGGAGCAUGUGGUUUAAUUCGAAGAUACGCGCAGUACCUUACCAACACUUGACAUGUUCGUCGCGACUCUAAGAGAUUAGAGUUUUCGGUUCGGCCGGACGAAACACAGGUGCUGCAUGGCUGUCGUCAGCUCGUGUCGUGAGAUGUUGGGUUAAGUCCCGCAACGAGCGCAACCCUCACUUUUAGUUGCCAUCAUUUAGUUGGGCACUCUGAAAGAACUGCCAGUGAUAAGCUGGAGGAAGGUGGGGAUGACGUCAAGUCCUCAUGGCCCUUACGUGUUGGGCUACACACGUGCUACAAUGGUAUCUACAACAGGAAGCAAGACUGCAAAGUUGAGCGAAUCCCUAAAAGAUACCUCAGUUCGGAUUGCACUCUGCAACUCGAGUGCAUGAAGCUGGAAUUACUAGUAAUCGUGGAUCAGCGUGCCACGGUGAAUGCGUUCCCGGGUCUUGUACACACCGCCCGUCACACCAUGGGAGUUGGUUCUACCUUAAGGCAAGGUUUCAAACCCUUGACCACGGUAUAGUCAGCGACUGGGGUGAAGUCGUAACAAGGUAACC
rnacentral:rRNA from 1 species